rnacentral:rRNA from 1 species
GACGAACGCUGGCGGCGUGCUUAACACAUGCAAGUCGAGCGGUAAGGCCCUUUCGGGGGUACGACGAGCGGCGAACGGGUGAGUAACACGUGGGUGACCUGCCCUUAGCUCUGGGAUAAGCCUGGGAAACUGGGUCUAAUACCGGAUAUGACUCCAUGACGCAUGUUGUGGGGUGGAAAGCCUUGUGCGGCUAGGGAUGGGCCCGCGGCCUAUCAGCUUGUUGGUGGGGUGAUGGCCUACCAAGGCGACGACGGGUAGCCGGCCUGAGAGGGCGACCGGCCACACUGGGACUGAGACACGGCCCAGGACUCCUACGGGAGGCAGCAGUGGGGAAUCUUGCGCAAUGGGCGAAAGCCUGACGCAGCGACGCCGCGUGAGGGAUGACGGCCU